GGGCAGGGCGGUGGCAGCCCCGUGCUCCGUCGUGCGGCGGGAGCUGUCGUGCUUUGUCGCUCUUCGCUGGUCCGUGGAGGGGAAGCUGGCGUGUCGCUUGCUCUCGUUGUUGUUUGUGUGUUGUUUCCGUGGUGGCGGGCCUUGGAGAUGGCGUCGGGAAGCGCGGGGCUCCGUCCGGAUGGGAAGUUUUGCUUUUGGCGUCGCUCUGUGGAGUUUUGCUUCAGGCCCGGAGCGCGACAGCACGAAGCUGUGGGUGGCGGGGCCUGAUGGUGCAGCAAGGAUGGCAACGGCAUCGUCUUCCUGUGGUGUUCCCCAGCAAAGCCUCGAGGCAGAGCCUGAGCCCCCCUCUUCCCCCGUCCGCCUGGCUUCUGUGGCGCGGCUCUGGCUGUGCUCUGCUGCGCUCUGCGGUGCAGCAGGAAGGCCUCCCUUUGUUUGCCAGUAGGUGUGUGAGUGAGGACUCCGCGCUGGAAUUUGUACCGAGAAGAGCCCAGAUGGCGCCUUUGGUGUUCCGUUUCCGGAUGGUCGCCUGGAUCCGGAUUUUGUGCCUCAGGGGAAACCCAGAGGCCCUCUUGGUCAAUCAACAGCGUGGAAUCGUGUCCCUGAGCCCGGUGUGGAUGCUGGAGGUGUGACUGGAGGUGUAGGUGAUCCAGCUUCCCCUCUGCGAUCCAGGAUGCGUGGGAGUCCGUCAUCUCACAUGGAAGUGCGGCCAGGGAAGGCGUUGCCAAGUCCUCAGCUCUUUCCUGUGCUGGAGCCCCGCUGGAAUCCCAGGGCUUCCUACGUUGUGUUAGGUCCGGAAAGAGGAAAGGAUACAUCUAGAAGAGGGAGAUACUCCCCGAGGUCAUCUCCUGGGCUAAAGGAACUCCUGAAGGAAAUGGAGAAGGCAGCGCGUGGUGGGUAUACUUGAGUGUGUUCACUGUGAGACUUGGGAAGCUGAGGUCUGAUAUGCAUGGGUGGAUAAGCUGUAGCCUGCACGGCAGGAAGGGAUCUCUCAGAGCCGCGGUGUGGUGGUGUUCCGUGUAAGACCUUGCAGGCACUGUCAAGCUCCAGAGAUGGUCUGCUGGCACUUCUGCAUCCAGCCAAGACCCUGAGACAGCUGCUCGCCCAGCACGACCGUAACUUGUCAGAGCUGCUUUGUGCAGACAUUGGCACCCAGAUGGCAGCAAGUGGCGAGUGCUGUGCUCCUGUUUGAACAAAGCCCUCUGUGCUGCUGAGCAAGUUCAAGGCAGGAGGAGCAUCCCAAGCAGGGGUGGCUGUCUUUGCUAAUGCUGGAAACGAGGUGGAGAUGGUGAUUCUGGAGAUGGUUCUGCCGGAGCUUGAAUUUGAGCGUGCAGGUGCCUGGCUGUGAUGGGUGGAACAGGAUGGUUGGUGAUGGUCCCAGCACGGUGCGUGAGGGCCCUGGCCAGGGGCCUUAUUCCUCGGGAGGCGUGAGAGGUUUUGGCACCCUCCAAUUCCUGGGAGGGCCCAAAUGCCCUUGGGCAGCGGAGGGGGUCGCAGUGGCUUUGGGGGGCCGGGACCUGCAGACUUUGCCUGAGCUCAGGGUAGGAGAAGCUCAGUUCCUGAUGAGAGGACGUCGCAUCCAAUGGUACUGUCCUGUUUCUUUCGGAAGGAAGUGACCAACCAUCUGCACAGGACGCGCUGCGGUUUGGCAGCCAUCCCACACUGCCAGUCUCGGCCAGAGGAACACAGACAGCGCCGACAACUGGCAUGCCAGGUCAGCAGCCAAACCUGAGCGUAUGAGCACAGAGCACAUGUAAAAGAAGCCCGGGGUGGCUCUCUGAAAAUGGCUGACCUCAGUGGGGUUUGGGGUGGAUGCUGGGAAAAACACAAGGGCUGUGCUUCAGGAGUUUCUGCAGGUGCACUUCACCCUAGUGAUCACAGUGCUUGUAACUGUGCUGCUGUCUGGGCUGGUGAUGACCUGUAUUGCUGUGUCGUGGAUGUGGC